rnacentral:siRNA from 1 species
AGAAACCUAGCGAAACACAUUGAA